rnacentral:rRNA from 1 species
AUGAGGGUAACACUUAUGCUACUCCUGACCCUCACGUUUCUCGUGCUACCAUCAGAUGCUGAAACAACAUGUAGUUCCAGGGAUUGGCCCCCGGGGGGUACAGCGUGUGAUAGAAGCAAGUGUGAGGACAAAUGUAAGAACUAUUAUAAUAACUAUUACCAGCAUUCUACUUGUGUAGGUCUCUGUAGUUGGACUUCCAUCUGUACAGACAAUGGGUGCCAUUGCUCAAUUUGUGAUGAUCACAGCCAUCCAUUGGGACAUUGA